rnacentral:misc_RNA from 1 species
AAAAAUUUUUUUUUUUUUUUGUUUUUUUUAUCAAUUUCACUGUCAUUCAACCAUAAUUGCUUCCUAAUUAAUUCCAUGCAAAUUAAAUGCAAAUAUUCUUUCGUACUAAGCUUAUUCUCACUUAUAACCUCGUAGAUGAAAGGAUAGAACCAUCAGUGGGAAAAAGACAAUUUGCCAAAUGGUAUUAUCUUUAGCAGUGGAGCACUUGAGAGUAGAACUUCAUCUGAAAUCAGGCUUCAAAAAUUUGAAAGCAUUUGCAGCAUCAGGAAAAGUACUACAACUUAAAGGCAUCUCCUCCAGUUUUGAUACCUCCUCGGAAGCAACAAGAGCAAAGAAUUCAACCCUUUAAAACUCCCUUCACAAACCCUUGCAAAGAAUUCCCCAUUCCAGCACCAACAGCUUCAGCCAAGUACAUUGCCUCUUGAAUUGUCUUCUUGAAAUCAAAAGCAUCUUUCACUCGACAAUCCAAGAAUGCCCAUGUAUCACGAAAAUCUGGGGAACUAU